rnacentral:rRNA from 1 species
CNACCUGCCGACAACACUGGGAUAGCCUUUCGAAAGAAAGAUUAAUACCGGAUGGCAUAGUUUUCCCGCAUGGGAUAAUUAUUAAAGAAUUUCGGUUGUCGAUGGGGAUGCGUUCCAUUAGGCAGUUGGCGGGGUAACGGCCCACCAAACCUACGAUGGAUAGGGGUUCUGAGAGGAAGGUCCCCCACAUUGGAACUGAGACACGGUCCAAACUCCUACGGGAGGCAGCAGUGAGGAAUAUUGGUCAAUGGACGAGAGUCUGAACCAGCCAAGUAGCGUGAAGGAUGACUGCCCUAUGGGUUGUAAACUUCUUUUAUACGGGAAUAAAGUUAGCCACGUGUGGUUUUUUGUAUGUACCGUAUGAAUAAGGAUCGGCUAACUCCGUGCCAGCAGCCGCGGUAAUACGGAGGAUCCGAGCGUUGUCCGGAUUUAUAGGGUUUAAAGGGAGCGUAGGCGGGUUGUUAAGUCAGUUGUGAAAGUUUGCGGCUCAACCGUAAAAUUGCAGUUGAUACUGGCGACCUUGAGUGCAACAGAGGUAGGCGGAACUCGUGGUGUAGCGGUGAAAUGCUUAGAUAUCACGAAGAACUCCGAUUG